GUCCUCAGGCCCAAGGUGCAGUGCUGCAUCUCUGGUCAACUGGGAGUCUGAGAUGAAGCACUGUAGCUCGGGA
ensembl:miRNA MIR143 microRNA 143